rnacentral:ncRNA from 1 species
CAAAGGCAUGGUCCCAACCUUACAAUCAGCUCUAACUCAACUUACACAUGCAAGUCUCCGCAGCCCAGUGAGUAAGCCCUCAACCCCCGCCCGGGGAUGAGGAGCAGGCAUCAGGCACAAAAUACUUUAGCCCAAGACGCCUAGCCCAGCCACACCCCCAAGGGAAUUCAGCAGUGAUAAAUAUUAAGCCUAUAAGUGAAAACUUGACUCAGUCAGUGUUAAGAGGGCCGGUAAAACUCGUGCCAGCCACCGCGGUUAUACGAGAGGCCCUAGUUGAUUAUAUAAUCGGCGUAAAGGGUGGUUAAGGAUAUAUACAUAUUAAUAAAGCCAAAUGGCCCUUUGGCCGUCACACGCUUCUAGGUGUCCGAAGCCCCAUUUAUACGAAAGUAGCUUUAAUAAAUAACCCGACCCCACGAAAACUGAGAAACAAACUGGGAUUAGAUACCCCACUAUGCUCAGCCGUAAACUUAGACAUCCCACUACAGUUAGAUGUCCGCCAGGGUACUACGAGCAUCAGCUUAAAACCCAAAGGACCUGACGGUGUCUCAGACCCAUCUAGAGGAGCCUGUCCUAGAACCGAUAAUCCCCGUUAAACCUCACCACUCCUAGUCACCCCAGCCUAUAUACCGCCGUCGUCAGCCUACCCUGUGAGGGUAAAAAAGUAAGCAAAAUGGGCACAACCCAGAACGUCAGGUCGAGGUGUAGCGCAUGAAGUGGAAAGAAAUGGGCUACAUUUUCUACUACAGAAUAUAACGAACAUGCACCAUGAAAUAGUGCUUGAAGGAGGAUUUAGCAGUAAAAAGGAAAUAGAGUGUCCCUUUGAACCUGGCUCUGAGACGCGUACACACCGCCCGUCACUCUCCCCUGUCAAAACGCAUAAGAAAUACAUAACCAACCAGCACUGACAAGGGGAGGCAAGUCGUAACACGGUAAGUGUACCGGAAGGUGCACUUGGAACAAACC